rnacentral:rRNA from 1 species
AGUGAACGCUGGCGGUAGGCCUAACACACGCAAGUCGAACGGCAGCACAGGAGAGCUUGCUCUCUGGGUGGCGAGUGGCGGACGGGUGAGGAAUACAUCGGAAUCUACUUUUUCGUGGGGGAUAACGUAGGGAAACUUACGCUAAUACCGCAUACGACCUACGGGUGAAAGCAGGGGACCUUCGGGCCUUGCGCGAUUGAAUGAGCCGGUGUCGGAUUAGCUAGUUGGCGGGGUAAGGGCCCACCAAGGCGACGAUCCGUAGCUGGUCUGAGAGGAUGAUCAGCCACACUGGAACUGAGACACGGUCCAGACUCCUACGGGAGGCAGCAGUGGGGAAUAUUGGACAAUGGGCGCAAGCCUGAUCCAGCCAUACCGCGUGGGUGAAGAAGGCCUUCGGGUUGUAAAGCCCUUUUGUUGGGAAAGAAAUCCAGCUGGCUAAUACCCGGUUGGGAUGACGGUACCCAAAGAAUAAGCACCGGCUAACUUCGUGCCAGCCGCCGCCGUAA